rnacentral:rRNA from 1 species
UACGAAGGGGGCUAGCGUUGCUCGGAAUCACUGGGCGUAAAGGGUGCGUAGGCGGGUCUUUAAGUCAGGGGUGAAAGCCUGUGGCUCAACCACAGAAUUGCCUUCGAUACUGUAGAGCUUGAGACCGGAAGAGGUAAGUGGAACUGCGAGUGUAGAGGUGAAAUUCGUAGAUAUUCGCAAGAACACCAGUGGCGAAGGCGGCUUACUGGUCCGGUUCUGACGCUGAGGCGCGAAAGCGUGGGGAGCAAACAGG